rnacentral:lncRNA from 1 species
UACACCCCCACAUAUCAAGGAAACUUGGGUGAUUGCCCACCAGUGCUCUCUUCUGGCAGAAGAAAGAAAACUUACUUGUCAGUGCCUCAGGCUUAGAACAUUUCACAAUGCAAGGAAGUGAAUAAAGAACAGAUGGACUGGGAAUGUUCUCAUAGCCUGGAAGGAAACUGGUGAUCUGAUGGAAACCUAACAGAUGCAGAAGUGAUAAAACAAAAACUAAGAUAAUGUGAACAAGGAAGAAGGCAGCUCAGCAGGGCUCCAUGGAGGGGGCAAAACGUCCUUCCCGGAAAUAUUGGGCUGCAUCCAGGCACUAUCGAAUUGGACUGAAACUGCAAGGAUGCUGACAGACAAGAAGAUAUACCAAAGGACAUUUUGCAAUGGUCCACUUCAAACUGGGAGCCAGUUCAGGGUUUGUGAU